rnacentral:pre_miRNA from 1 species
CUGAAGGCACUGUCAUGCCAGCUGCUCUGCAGGGUGGCUGAGGGGAUGGUAGACCGGUGACGUGCACUUCAUUCACGAUGUAGGUCACCUGUUUCACUAUCCAUCAGCACCCAGUCCACCUG